CUCUUUGGUUGUGACGAUGGCUACUUUCUUGUUGGUCACUCAAACUUAACUUGCCAGCCAAAUGGAGAGUGGGAUGGAAAUCCACCUUCUUGCGAAGUUUUAGAUUGCGGUUGUAACAUUGCUGGUUCUCAAAUAUCAGCCAAUGGGAGCUGUAAUACUACAACAGGACAGUGUUCAUGCAAAGAAAAUGUUGAAGGAGUAAAGUGUAACACCUGCAAAGCAACAUUUUUUAAUCUGCAAACAGCCAAUCCAGUUGGCUGUGAAGCAUGUAACUGUAAUCUCAAUGGAUCCACAGCUCUUUCGAUCGGAGCAUGUGAUGUUCAUUCUGGUCAGUGUGUUUGCAAAGAAGGUGUGACUGGUGUGAAGUGUUCUGUUUGUGAGGAUGGCUUCUACUUGACAUCUCCUGAUGAUACUAGCAGUUGUCAGUCGUGUAGUUGUUCUCUGUCGUCUUCAGUUUUACUGACAUGUGACAAGAUUUCAGGCCAAUGUAUUUGCAAAUCUGGUCUGACUGGACGUACUUGCAACAUUAUCGAAGAC